CCUACGGGAGGCAGCAGUGAGGAAUUUUCCGCAAUGGGCGAAAGCCUGGCGGAGCAAUACCGCGUGAAGGAUGAAGGCCUAUGGGUCGUAAACUUCUUUUCUCAGAGAAGAAUUUUGACGGUAUCUGAGGAAUAAGCAUCGGCUAACUCUGUGCCAGCAGCCGCGGUAAU
rnacentral:rRNA from 1 species